ensembl:lncRNA
UAAAAGACAUCUUGCUAAAGAAGAAAUUACACAUAUGCACGCACACACACACAGAGCUCUUGAAGAGAUGCAUGUCAAGGAUGUCAUCUUUAUUAAAAAGUCCCCUGCUAAUCCUGAAUAUCAGAUUGAAAAUGUUGGCAGAGUUGCUUCCACGGCUGACAUCUAAGCUGCAGGCAGGACCAUGCUGAUCUUACCCCUGCUCCACAGCUUCUGAUUUAAUUAAAACAAGACAGAUGGAGUGCAGUGUGUUAGUCUGUGUUCACCUGAGUUUCCUUUGUCAUCUCAGAAAAGUGAAGGAAGAAAGAGAGAGUGUCUGGAAACCAACAUUAAACAUUACGGUCAAAAUCUUUCGGAAUAAAGAUGAAGAUGACUCAAUGGUAGAAGCUUCCUGGUGUCUUGUCUACCACUUCUUGAGGUUCAAAGUGAAGGUUUGUCAGUCCAAGAUGGUGUCACGUAGCUUGCUACUCUGGACUUCAGGAGAGCUGACUUUGAACUCUACAGGGAGCUGCUUGGCAGGAUGACAUGGGAGAAAGCCCUGGCAGGAGGAAGGGUCCAAGAAAGCUGGUCAGUACUCAAGGACCUUUUCCUCCAAACCCAGAAGCAGUGCAUCCUGAGAAAGAAGAAGUUUCCUCAACAGGCCUCAAGUAUUGUGCAGAGAGGAAUUACGAGGCUACCUCUGCAGCUCUUCCCAAGCACUAUGAGGAAGGGGAUACCACCAUGCCUUUUCUUGACCUAUGGGUGUUACAUUUUAUGUGAUGCAUUUCUUUCUCAAGUGAUAAAAGACAACCAUAGAAUCACAGAAUCAUAAUCACCAAGGUUGGAAAAGACCUCCAAGAUCAUCCAGUCCAACCGUCCAUCUACCUUCACUAUUUCCCACUAAACCACGUCCCUUGGUACAACAGCUGAAUGUUUCUUGAAGACCUCCAGGGACGGUCAUUCAACCACAUCCCUGAGCUGAUGGUGCAAGUAUCUUCAUCUUGGUAUGAACUGACAAAGAUUGCAGAAGACUAAGUUUUUACAUUACCUCAUGACCAAACAACUUCUAAAAAUAUUAAACUUCUCAUUGUCUAGUUCCAAAAAAUUUGCAAAGUUUUUAACAUUCUUAAACAACAACAACAAAAUGGAAAAGCAUGUUAUUAAAGUACAGGAAAAGGUAUAAAAUAUGUUUCACUGGAAUGUAUCAUUAUUUGAUUGAAAAUAAAUAUGUCACAAAGCUUUUAACUCCAUCACCUUGUUUAAUUCCAGUUUUACCAUUUAUGUGAAUAUCCUCAGAAGCUUUCUAAAAUACAAGGCUGCAAGAGAAGGAGUUUAAAGAAGUCUAUGAAUAGAUUUCCAAUAGGUGUAAGAGAUAUGUAAUAGAAAUACAUGGAAAUACACGUUUGAAUUUCAGAAGCCACAAUGAAUCUUUCCUUAAUCUACUUUGAGGAGUGAUACACUAGAGCACUAGUUGAUUUUUUUUUCUUUUUUUUUCUUUUUUCA